rnacentral:rRNA from 1 species
GCCUAAUACAUGCAAGUCGAACGCGCAGCGAAAGGUGCUUGCACCUUCAAGCGAGUGGCGAACGGGUGAGUAACACGUGGAUAACCUGCCUCAAGGCUGGGGAUAACAUUUGGAAACAGAUGCUAAUACCGAAUAAAACUUAGUAUCGCAUGAUACAAAGUUGAAAGGCGCUACGGCGUCACCUAGAGAUGGGUCCGCGGUGCAUUAGUUAGUUGGUGGGGUAAAGGCCUACCAAGACAAUGAUGCAUAGCCGAGUUGAGAGACUGAUCGGCCACAUUGGGACUGAGACACGGCCCAAACUCCUACGGGAGGCUGCAGUAGGGAAUCUUCCACAAUGGGCGAAAGCCUGAUGGAGCAACGCCGCGUGUGUGAUGAAGGCUUUAGGGUCGUAAAGCACUGUUGUAUGGGAAGAAAUGCUAGAAUAGGGAAUGAUUCUAGUUCGACGGUACCAUACCAGAAAGGGACGGCUAAAUACGUG